rnacentral:misc_RNA from 1 species
GAUGAAGAACGUAGCGAAAUGCGAUAAGUAAUGUGAAUUGCAGAAUUCAGUGAAUCAUCGAAUCUUUGAACGCACAUUGCGCCCCUUGGUAUUCCGGGGGGCAUGCCUGUUCGAGUGUCAUUAUAACCCCUCAAGCUCAGCUUGGUGUUGGGGCCUGCCAACUGGCAGCCCUUAAAAUCAGUGGCGGCGCCAUCUGGCUCUAAGCGUAGUAAUUUCUCUCGCUAUAGGGUCCAGGUGGAUGCUGGCCAGCAACCCCCAAUUUUCUAUGGUUGACCUCGGAUCAGGUAGGGAUACCCGCUGAACUUAUGCAUAUCAAUAAGCGGAGGA